GGUGAGUUGGUAGAGUCAGGUUUAAUACAGCAGUUUGCUAAACUGUCGCUUCCGAAAGGUUGCCAGAGGUUCAAAUCCUCUACUCACCG
rnacentral:tRNA from 1 species